ACCUAGCUGGCUCAGUCAGUAGAAUGUAUGACUCUUGAUCUCAGGGUUGUGAGUUCGAGCCCCACGCUGGGUA
rnacentral:tRNA from 1 species